AGUGAACGCUGGCGGUAGGCCUAACACAUGCAAGUCGAACGGCAGCACAGUAAGAGCUUGCUCUUACGGGUGGCGAGUGGCGGACGGGUGAGGAAUACAUCGGAAUCUACUUUUUCGUGGGGGAUAACGUAGGGAAACUUACGCUAAUACCGCAUACGACCUACGGGUGAAAGCAGGGGAUCUUCGGACCUUGCGCGAUUGAAUGAGCCGAUGUCGGAUUAGCUAGUCGGCGGGGUAAAGGCCCACCAAGGCGACGAUCCGUAGCUGGUCGGAGAGGAUGAGCAGCCACACUGGAACUGAGACACGAUCCAGACUCCUACGGAAGGCAGCAGUGGGGAAUAUUGGACAAUGGGCGCAAGCCUGAUCCAGCCAUACCGCGUGGAUGAAGAAGGCCUUCGGGUUGUAAAGCCCUUUUGUUGGGAAAGAAAAGCAGCAGGUUAAUACCCCGCUGUUCUGACGGUACCCAAAGAAUAAGCACCGGCUAACUUCGUG
rnacentral:rRNA from 1 species